rnacentral:rRNA from 1 species
AGAAUGAACGCUGGCGGCGUGCUUAACACAUGCAAGUCGAACGAGGCGGAAGGGGGCAACUCCUUCCAGUCGAGUGGCGGACGGGUGAGUAACACGUGGGUAACCUGCCCGGAAGUGUGGAAUACCUCGGGGAAACUCGAGCCAAUACCGCAUGACAUCUUCGGGACGACAGUCCUGACGAUCAAAGCGGGGUCGCAAGAUCUCGCGCUACCGGAUGGGCCCGCGCCCGAUUAGCUAGUUGGUGAGGUAACGGCUCACCAAGGCUUCGAUCGGUAACCGGCCUGAGAGGGCGAUCGGUCACACCGGAACUGAGACACGGUCCGGACUCCUACGGGAGGCAGCAGUGGGGAAUCUUGCGCAAUGGGCGAAAGCCUGACGCAGCAACGCCGCGCGGAGGAUGAAGGCCUUUGGGUUGUAAACUCCUGUCGGCUGGGAAGAAAUCGCGCGGUGCUCAUACCACCGUGCGUUGACUGUACCAGCAAAGGAAGCCCCGGCUAACUCUGUGCCAGCAGCCGCGGUAAUACAGAGGGGGCUAGCGUUAUUCGGAAUUAUUGGGCGUAAAGGGCGCGUAGGCGGCCAUGCGUGUCUUCCGUGAAAUCCCUCGGCUUAACUGAGGACGUGCGGAAGAAACUGCAAGGCUCGAGUCCGGGAGAGGGGGGUUGGGAUUUCCAGUGUAGCGGUGAAAUGCGUAGAUAUUGGGAGGAGCACCGGUGGCGAAAGGCGGCCCCCUGGACCGGUACUGACGCUGAGGCGCGAAAGCGUGGGUAGCAAACGGGAUUAGAUACCCCGGUAGUCCACGCCGUAAACGAUGGGCACUUGGUGUCGCGGGUAUCGACCCCUGCGGUGCCGAAGCUAACGCAUUAAGUGCCCGCCUGGGGAGUACGGUCGCAAGGCUGAA